rnacentral:rRNA from 1 species
CCUACGGGAGGCAGCAGUGAGGAAUAUUGGUCAAUGGGCGCGAGCCUGAACCAGCCAAUCCGCGUGAAGGAUGACUGCCCUGCGUAUUGUAAACUUCUUUUAUCAAGGAACAAAGUCAGGCACGUGUGCCUUGUUGUAUGUACCUUAUGAAUAAGGAUCGGCUAACUCCGUGCCAGCAGCCGCGGUAAUACGGAGGAUCCGAGCGUUAUCCGGAUUUCUUGGGUUUAAAGGGUGCGGAGACGGGUUGUUAAGUCAGUGGGGAAAGUCGGCGGCUCAACCCCACAAGUGCCGUUGAUACUGGCAGUCUCGAGUUCGGUGGAGGUAGGCGGAAUGCGCGGUGUAGCGGUGAAAGGCUUAGAUAUCGCGAAGAACUCCGAUUGCGAAGGCAGCUUACCGACUCGACACUGACAUUGAGGCACGAAAGCGUGGGUAUCGAACAGGAUUAGAUACCCUUGUAGUC